ACACACACACACACACACACCUGUUCUUGCCAUGGUGACAACAGCCUAGGUUGUGCCACAGCCUGUGCUUAGCCCCUCGUAUUAACUUCCCAGGGCUACCAAGGCAAAAUAACACAGAAUGGGUUGCUUCAAACACAGAAAUGUAUUGUCUCACAGUUCUGAAAGCUAACAGGUCAAGAUUCAGGUGUUGGCAGGUCAUGCCAUUUGAAACACAAAAGGGAAUUUUUCUGUGCCUCUUCCUAGCUUCUAGGCUUGCUGGAAAUCUGAUGUUCCUGGGCUUCUAGCUGCAUGACUGCUGUCCCUGCCAUUGUUGUCACAUAGCAUUCUCCCUGUCUGGCCACCUUGUUAUAAGGACACCAGUCACAUGGAUUAGGAACCCACCCUACUCCAGAGUAACCUCAUCUUCACCACAUCUUCCAUGACCCUAUGCUUAAAUAAGGUCACAUAGCAGGGGUCCUGAGGAUUAGGACUUGAACCUUUUGGGAACCCACAUUUCACCCCCAUAACGUCCCUAUGCACAAGCACAUUCAGUCCUAGAAACCAGCCUGUCAGGCAAUUUGAUGACGCCAAGUUAAGGAUGAGUUCACAGGCUCAUAGGAAGUUUAGGAACCUGCUUAAAGUCACACAGAUAGGACACAAUGAAGGUCAGAAAGUGGAUACAGGACAGGGAAAUUCUGAUGUGCCUCUCUUGAGCUUUCAGAGAAGAGUUAGAGACAACUCCAGACCCAGAGGAACCCUGGGGGAGGAAUCAGCUUUAAGGAGAACGUUUCCCGAGGAAAAGAGGUCAGAGGCUGGGAUUUAGCUUCCCAUCAUCCCUCACUGAAACCCAUGAUGUUCCACUUUGGGCUGCUUCCACGACACUGGCAGGCCUGUGGACAUGCAUAGUAUUUCCAAGAAAAAAAUGCUGGAAUAACUGAACAUCCACCUGUGAAAAAAUGAAUCUAGACCCAGAGCUUAUGGCUUUCACAAAAAUUAACUCUAAGCAUACCCUAGACCUAAAUACGAGGAGAAAAACUGUGAAAUGUUUAGAAAAUCCAGGUGACCUGGAUUUGGUGAUCAAGUCUUAGAAUAGCAAAUGCAGAAUCCAUGAAAGAAACAACAAAUAUGUUCAAUUUACUUAAAUUUAAAAACUUACAAGCUAAAGACUGAAAGAAAAUAUUUGCAAAGCAUACUUUCAACUCUGUAUAUGAAUAAUACAAGAGCUUCUAAAAUUUGAUGGUAAGGAAUAAAACAACACGAUUACAAAUAGAAAAAAAAUGGGGAAAAGAUGUAAAUGGACAUCCCACCAGAGAGAAUGCAUGCAUAGCAAAUGAGCAGAUGAAAAGAAGCCCAACAUCCUGCGUCAUGAGGGAACCGCAAACUAAAACCACAGUGGGGGCUGGGGCUAUAGCUUAGUUGGUAGAGAGUUUGUCUCACAUGCACAAGGCCCAGGGUUCAAUCCCAGCACCACGGGAGAAAAAAAAAACAACACAAUGAGACACCACGGUAGAUAAGAUACCACUAUGUACCUAUUAGAAGGGCUUCAUUUGAAACCCUGACAAUCUUAAAUUCUGGCAAGGAGAUGAAGCUCCAGGAACUUUCCUUCAUCACCAGUAAGAAUGCAAAAAUGGUACAGUCACUUUGGAAGAUAGAUUGGCAUUUUCUUAAAAGUCAAGCAUAUGCCAACCAUGUGAUCUAACAACAUGCUCUUUAUAAAAUUUAUUUGUAACUUUUAUACAAAACAUGAAUAUUACAAAUAUUAAUGGUGUACCAUGUAAUGUUUGGGUACAUUGAGCAAUGUAUAAAUCAGGUCAAGCAUUUAUCUCCUCAAACAUCUUUUAAUCAAGGUAAAAAUUUUAGAAUCCUUUCUUUUAGCAUUUUGAAAGGGACUGUAUAUAUUAUUGUUAUCUAUAGUCACCCUACUGUACAACAGCACAGCAGAACUUCUUGCUUUUAUCUAGCUGUAACUCAGUAACCACUGAUCAAACUUUCUCCAGUUCUCACCCCAAGUUGCCCCAGCCUCUGGGAACCACCAUUGUAUUGUGAAGUUUGAUGAGAUAAGCUUUUGUAGAUUCCACACAUGAGUAGGAUCAUAUAAUUCUCAUCUUUCUGUGUCUGGAUUAUUUCACUCAACAAUCUUCAGUUCACCACAUGUUGUCACAAAUGACAGGAUAUCAUUGAUUUUUGCAGCUGACAGUUCUCCGUUAUGUAUAUGUACCAUAUUUUCUUUACCUAUCUAUUGGUUGGUGGACAUUAGGUGUUCCCCACUUUUGAAUAUUGUGAAUAGGGCUGAAUAAAUACAGGAAUGCAGAUGUCUCUUCAACAUACUGGUUUCAUUUCUUUGGAUAGAUACCCAGUAGUGGGAUUCCUGGAUCACACAAUGGUUAUAGUUUUAUUUUUUAAAGGAAACUACAUACUGUUUUCCCCAAUGGCUGUGCUAAUUUACAUCCCCACCAGUGGUGUGCAGGGGUGCACUUUUCUCCACAUCCUUGCUGGGACUUGUUGUGUUGUCUUUUUGAUAAUAGCCAAUAUUACUAGGGUGAAAUGCCGUCUCACUGUAGUUCUGAUUUACAUUUGCCUGCUGAUUAGUAAUGUCAACCAUUUUUUUUCAUGUACCUGUUAGUCAUUUGUGUGUGUGUGCGUAAAAUAGUAUACAAAAAUAUAUAUA
rnacentral:lncRNA from 1 species